AUUGAACGCUGGCGGCAUGCCUUACACAUGCAAGUCGAACGGCAGCACGGGUGCUUGCACCUGGUGGCGAGUGGCGAACGGGUGAGUAAUAUAUCGGAACGUACCUUAUUGUGGGGGAUAACGCAGCGAAAGCUGUGCUAAUACCGCAUAAUCCCUAAGGGGGGAAAGCGGGGGACCGUAAGGCCUCGCGCAAUUAGAGCGGCCGAUACCUGAUUAGCUAGUUGGUGAGGUAAAGGCUCACCAAGGCAACGAUCAGUAGCUGGUCUGAGAGGACGAUCAGCCACACUGGGACUGAGACACGGCCCAGACUCCUACGGGAGGCAGCAGUGGGGAAUUUUGGACAAUGGGGGCAACCCUGAUCCAGCAAUGCCGCGUGAGUGAAGAAGGCCUUCGGGUUGUAAAGCUCUUUUGUCAGGGAAGAAACAGCAGCUCUAACACAGUAUGCGAAUGACGGUACCUGAAGAAUAAGCACCGGCUAACUACGUGCCAGCCGCCGCCGAAA
rnacentral:rRNA from 1 species